rnacentral:rRNA from 1 species
UGGGGAAUAUUGCACAAUGGGCGCAAGCCUGAUGCAGCCAUGCCGCGUGUGUGAAGAAGGCCUUCGGUUGUAAAGCACUUUCAGCGAGGAGGAAGGUGGUGAACUUAAUACGUUCAUCAAUUGACGUUACUCGCAGAAGAAGCACCGGCUAACUCCGUGCCAGCAGCCGCGGUAAUACGGAGGGUGCAAGCGUUAAUCGGAAUUACUGGGCGUAAAGCGCACGCAGGCGGUUUGUUAAGUCAGAUGUGAAAUCCCCGGGCUCAACCUGGGAACUGCAUUUGAAACUGGCAAGCUAGAGUCUCGUAGAGGGGGGUAGAAUUCCAGGUGUAGCGGUGAAAUGCGUAGAGAUCUGGAGGAAUACCGGUGGCGAAGGCGGCCCCCCUGGACGAAGACUGACGCUCAGGUGCGAAAGCGUGGGGAGCAAACAGAUUAGAUACCCUGGUAGUCCACGCUGUAAACGAUGUCGAUUUUGGAGGUUGUGCCCUGAGGCGUGGNUUCCGGAGCUAACGNGUUAAAUCGACCGCCNGGGGAGUANGGCCCAAGGUUAAAACUUAAAUGAAUUGCGGGUCUAGCG